rnacentral:rRNA from 1 species
GAGGAAUAAGCAUCGGCUAACUCCGUGCCAGCAGCCGCGGUAAUACGGGGGAUGCAAGCGUUAUCCGGAAUCAUUGGGCGUAAAGCGCCUGUAGGUUGUUUAUUAAGUCUGUUGUUAAAGACUAGGGCUUAACCCUAGACAAGCAAUGGAAACUAAUAGACUAGAGUAUGGCAGGGGUAGAGGGAAUUUCUAGUGUAGCGGUGAAAUGCGUAGAUAUUAGAAAGAACACCAGCGGCGAAAGCGCUCUACUGGACCAUUACUGACACUCAGAGGCGAAAGCUAGGGUAGCAAAAGGGAUUAGAUACCCCUGUAGUCCUAGCCGUAAACGAUGGAUACUAGGUGUUGUGUUUAAUAUACAGUAUCGUAGCUAACGCGUUAAGUAUCCCGCCUGGGGAGUACGCUCGCAAGGGUGAAACUCAAAGGAAUUGACGGGGGCCCGCACAAGCGGUGGAGCAUGUGGUUUAAUUCGAUGCAACGCGAAGAACCUUACCAGGGCUUGACAUACUACGGAUCCUUUUUAAAAAAAGGAGUGCCUUCGGGAAUGUAGAUACAGGUGGUGCAUGGCUGUCGUCAGCUCGUGUCGUGAGAUGUUGGGUUAAGUCCCGCAACGAGCGCAACCCUUAUUUUUAGUUACCAACUCGUUGGGUUCUCUAGAAAGACUGCCGGUGACAAACCGGAGGAAGGUGAGGAUGACGUCAAGUCAGCAUGCCCCUUAUGUCCUGGGCUACACACGUGCUACAAUGGUUAAGACAAAGAGUUGCGAGCUUGUGAAAGUCAGCUAAUCUCAUAAACUUAGCCUAAGUUCAGAUUGUAGGCUGCAACUCGCCUACGUGAAG